GCUCACUUAACUCAGAGGUUAGAGCAUCACAUUUGUAAUGCGAUGGACAUCAGUUCGAUUCCGAUAGCCGGCU
rfam:Capsicum annuum cultivar Zunla-1 chromosome 6, whole genome shotgun sequence